rfam:Gallus gallus breed Red Jungle fowl, inbred line TCD001 Contig3731.1, whole genome shotgun sequence. [11-NOV-2016]
UUGGGGUGAGGUAGUAGGUUGUAUAGUUUUAGGGUUAUGCCCUGCCUGUCAGAUAACUAUACAAUCUACUGUCUUUCCUGA